CUACGGAGGGUGCAAGCGUUAUUCGGAAUCACUGGGCGUAAAGGACGCGUAGGCGGGUUGGCAAGUCAGAUGUGAAAUCCUACAGCUUAACUGUAGAACUGCAUUUGAAACUGCUAACCUAGAGUAUGGGAGGGGGAGAUGGAAUUAGUGGUGUAGGGGUAAAAUCCGUAGAUAUCACUAGGAAUACCGAAAGCGAAGGCGAUCUCCUGGAACAUAACUGACGCUAAGGCGUGAAAGCGUGGGGAGCAAACAGCAUUAGAAACCCUAGUAGUCC
rnacentral:rRNA from 1 species